UACGUAGGUGGCAAGCGUUGUCCGGAAUCACUGGGCGUAAAGCGCGCGCAGGCGGCGAUCUACGUCUGGGGUGAAAGCCCGGGGCUCAACUCCGGGACUGCCUUGGAUACGGGAUCGCUUGAGGAUUGGAGAGGCAAGGGGAAUUCCACGUGUAGCGGUGAAAUGCGUAGAUAUGUGGAGGAACACCUGUGGCGAAGGCGCCUUGCUGGCCAAUUUCUGACGCUGAGGCGCGAAAGCGUGGGGAGCAAACAGG
rnacentral:rRNA from 1 species